rnacentral:tRNA from 1 species
UCCUUGGUGGUCCAGUGGUUUAGACUCUGCACUUAUAAUGCAGGGGCCAAGGGUUCAAUCCCUAGUCAGGGAA